rnacentral:rRNA from 1 species
UACGUAGGGUCCGAGCGUUGUCCGGAAUUAUUGGGCGUAAAGGGCUCGUAGGCGGUUUGUCGCGUCGGGAGUGAAAACACGGGGCUUAACCCCGUGCCUGCUUCCGAUACGGGCAGACUAGAGGUAUGCAGGGGAGAACGGAAUUCCUGGUGUAGCGGUGAAAUGCGCAGAUAUCAGGAGGAACACCGGUGGCGAAGGCGGUUCUCUGGGCAUUACCUGACGCUGAGGAGCGAAAGUGUGGGGAGCGAAACAGG